CCAGAUGGGAUUAGCUAGUAGGUGGGGUAACGGCUCACCUAGGCGACGAUCCCUAGCUGGUCUGAGAGGAUGACCAGCCACACUGGAACUGAGACACGGUCCAGACUCCUACGGGAGGCAGCAGUGGGGAAUAUUGCACAAUGGGCGCAAGCCUGAUGCAGCCAUGCCGCGUGUGUGAAGAAGGCCUUCGGGUUGUAAAGCACUUUCAGCGGGGAGGAAGGCGUUAAGGUUAAUAACCUUGGCGAUUGACGUUACCCGCAGAAGAAGCACCGGCUAACUCCGUGCCAGCAGCCGCGGUAAUACGGAGGGUGCAAGCGUUAAUCGGAAUUACUGGGCGUAAAGCGCACGCAGGCGGUCUGUCAAGUCGGAUGU
rnacentral:rRNA from 1 species